GGGGGUAUAGCUUAGUGGUAGAGUGCAUGCUUAGCAUGCACACGGGCCUGAGGUCAAUCCCCAGUACUGCCA
rnacentral:tRNA from 1 species